rnacentral:rRNA from 1 species
CCCUUAGACGUUCUGGGCCGCACGCGCGCUACACUGACCGGUGCAACAAGCAUCCGUCCUUGGCCGACAGGCCCGGGCAAUCUUUGAACGCCGGUCGUGAUGGGGAUAGACUUUUGCAAUUUUUGGUCUUCAACGAGGAAUUCCUAGUAAACGCAAGUCAUCAACUUGCAUUGAUUACGUCCCUGCCCUUUGUGCACACCGCCCGUCGCACCUACCGAUUGAAUGGUCCGGUGAAGCCUCCGGAUUGGCGCGCACCUCGGUGCCGCCGAGAAGUUGGCUAAACCUUACCAUUUAGAGGAAGGUGAANUCGUAACA